rnacentral:misc_RNA from 1 species
GCAAACUUGGUCAUUUAGAGGAAGUAAAAGUCGUAACAAGGUUUCCGUAGGUGAACCUGCGGAAGGAUCAUUACCAACCUUUGGUGAGCCUUGGACUCGUCCAUGGUCUCGCGAAAUCUUGUAUUUAAAACCCGCUCAUAUAAACUUAAAAACAUGUAGUAAUAUGAUAAUUAAAGAUCACUUUCAACAACGGAUCUCUUGGCUCUCAGAGACAGGCAAACUUGGUCAUUUAGAGGAAGUAAAAGUCGUAACAAGGUUUCCGUAGGUGAACCUGCGGAAGGAUCAUUACCAACCUUUGGUGAGCCUUGGACUCGUCCAUGGUCUCGCGAAAUCUUGUAUUUAAAACCCGCUCAUAUAAACUUAAAAACAUGUAGUAAUAUGAUAAUUAAAGAUCACUUUCAACAACGGAUCUCUUGGCUCUCGCAUCGAUGAAGAACGCAGC